CGCGUUUUUCGCCCAGGCGGAGCUCGACCGCCGUCUGAAGUCCUGAAGGGCUUCAUCGAUCAGCAUCGACUACGGGGUCGAGUCGAUCUGCAAGGUGCUGCAGAUCGCUCCG
rfam:Acidovorax temperans strain KY4 Contig_89, whole genome shotgun sequence.